rnacentral:rRNA from 1 species
AUUGAACGCUGGCGGCGUGCUUAACACAUGCAAGUCGAUCGGUAACGCGGGGGCAACCCUGGCGACGAGAGGCGGACGGGUGAGGAACGCUUGGGAAUCUGCCUAUCAGCGGGGGACAACACGGGGAAACUCGUGCUAAUACCGCAUACGCUCUACGGAGGAAAGCCGGGGACCGCAAGGCCUGGCACUGAUAGAUGAGCCCAAGCCGGAUUAGCUAGUUGGCGGGGUAACGGCCCACCAAGGCGACGAUCCGUAGCUGGUCUGAGAGGACGAUCAGCCACACUGGGACUGAGACACGGCCCAGACUCCUACGGGAGGCAGCAGUGGGGAAUAUUGGACAAUGGGGGAAACCCUGAUCCAGCCAUUCCGCGUGCAGGACGAAGGCCUUCGGGUUGUAAACUGCUUUUGUACGGAACGAAAAAGCUCUUACUAAUACUAGGAGUCCAUGACGGUACCGUAAGAAUAAGCACCGGCUAACUACGUGCCAGCAGCCGCCGUAAGAC